CGAUGAAGACCGAUGAAGACAAGAAACAAUUUGCGGAAGAGUACAAAGAAAAUCUGGAAGCUAAUAUUACACAUUUUCCCAAUAUACGACGGGAACUAAAUAUUUCAUAAACUUAGGCAACUCAAAACGGUCCCGCAUGUUAGGCACAAAAUACUAGCACACUUACUCAGACGUUAGGCACAAAAUACUAGCACACUUAGACGCUCCAGCAAAGAACAUAUAAACUACUCUGAUGAUAUGCAGAAAUGAUGCCUUCGUUUUAAACAUAUGCAAUCAACAUCUCCUAGAGUGUAAAGAAUCCUGGCUAGCUGGACAUCAU
rnacentral:lncRNA from 1 species